UGCGCUUACUGAAUUGGGGAAUAUUUCAAACCAUGCCUUAAAUAAUAGAAUUGAAAUGGAGUGUUGCUCAGGUGGCCUGGAAUGGAAACUUCUGAGUGAAGACUUAGAUCCUGGCUUUUCUUGAAGAUGUAAUAGAGCCCUGGGGGCACACUGAAGAUGCAGUUGGAAGAAAUUAAGGACAAAAUGAACAAGCAGAAACCAGAGAAUACGUCUGAGAACCCUCAUCUGAGAGCAUUAUAUUUAAAUAAAUUCCGUGUCCAGAUGUUCCAGAAUCCAGAUGGCCUAUGAAUCCUCUAUCACCCAGAAAGGAGGAAAAUGUGCAUGAAAGGGGAGCAUUGAAAAGAAAAAAAAUAAUUUAGCUUUGGCUACAUAAUGGCAACAUACAGGGCUCAAGAAAAAGCUGCCUUUCCUAAAGCAGCAACUUAAUAAAAUGCAUGUUAUAUGCUCUAUCGGCAAGCCAAAUUUUCAGCCUUGCCUCUUCCUUCCAUCACCAUUAAGAAGCUUGCAGAGAUCCACACUCUUUAAAGGGCAGACAGCAUGGAAGAACUAUCAUGUACAAUUUAAAGUAGCAGCUAAAAUUGGAAUGGUCACAAGAAAGCCUGUUUCUUUGCAAUUAAAUUGACAAGCUGUCUAUGUUUACCCUAGGGAACUUGGCAGCUGAGUGAUAAAAAGACUGCAGAGUGUUGAAAGGUCUAACGCAACUUACUAGGUGGACAAAGACCACAUCUGCUUAAUAUACUGAUUGGGAGAGUUGUGGAAUGUACUUGGCUAAAUUAGCCAAGGAGAAAUACUAAUGAUACCUUUUCCUCUCUAAGACCCUCUGCUAAGAACCUGGCUUAGAAAUGACUCACAAAUAUUUGGAAGCAUGCAUAAAAACAAGUUGGGCUCAAUACCCAAUGUUAUUUAGUGUGAAUCUACCAUUAUAAAUCACCAGGAGAAUUGAGCAGAAGUUUAGAAAGUAAUAAUAAUAAUAAUAAUAAACCUUUCAUCAAGUAAUGUUUAUGAAAUGUAUACAUACUUGAUAUAAAAACUGGGCACCCAAGAGAGGAUUUAUAGAGAUAUCAAGAACUAAGGAGAUGGAAAAAAAUGGAUAAUUUAAUGUCAAAAUAUUAGGCAAGAAUUAUGUGGAAUUUUCAUCAGUGGGGGUCCCUUGAGUUGGGCAUAGCUGAAACUUAUUUCACAAAGGAGAAAAAAAAUCAGAUGGGGGUGGUAGCAAUUUGUGAAGACUAACACGUUCAUUUCAGCAAUAUAUUCUUAAUUUUAGUUAUUAGUCUGUUACUUAAAAGGGUAAAUGCACAUAGCAAUGUGAAGGUUUACUCUGAUACGUUGCAUAGAUAUUUAUGA